UACGUAGGCAGCGAGCGUUGUUCGGGGUUACUGGGCGUAAAGAGUGCGUAGGCGGUUUUCUAAGUUUGGUGUGAAAUCUCCCGGCUCAACUGGGAGGGUGCGCCGAAGACUGGAAGGCUUGAGUAUGGGAGAGGUAAGCGGAAUUCCUGGUGUAGCGGUGAAAUGCGUAGAUAUCAGGAGGAACACCUGCGGUGUAGACGGCUUACUGGACCAUAACUGACGCUGAGGCACGAAGGCUAGGGGAGCAAACAGG
rnacentral:rRNA from 1 species